rnacentral:rRNA from 1 species
UACGUAGGGGGCGAGCGUUGUCCGGAUUUAUUGGGCGUAAAGAGCUCGUAGGCGGCUUGGCAAGUGGAAGGUGAAAUCCCUCGGCUUAACCGAGGAACUGCCCUCCAGACUGCUUUGCUUGGAGGCCGGGAGAGGUGAGUGGAAUUCCCAGUGUAGCGGUAGAAAUGCGUAGAUAUUGGGAGGAACACCAGUGGCGAAGGCGGCUCACUGGACCGGUUCUGACGCUGAGGCGCGAAAGCGUGGGGAGCAAACGGG